AUAUAUAUAUCAACCUCUCUUGUUGAGUGGUUUGGAUGUGGGGGGAUUUUUGCUGGCCUGUUCAGCUCCUCUGAAAUGCAUUCGCAGAUCAACCUGUUCAUUGGUGUGAUAACUAUCUACGCUAUUGAAUGUGAGGUGCAGUUCAGCUUUCUAACAGUCAUUGGACAGAUUGUUUAUCAUGU
rnacentral:misc_RNA from 1 species